AAACCGUUCAGGGGUAAACCUGAGAAACCCGAAAGGUCGAACGGGGAGAUUCAGCGUCAGCGGCGUCGGUUCGGCGGUGGUCGGCGAUGUAGCCCGACGGCGGCCCUCGCGGUCGUCUCGAAGCUACACGUCAUCACUCUGCCGUGUCCGGCGUUCGCGGUCGUGCACUUCUCCCCUAGUAGAACGUCGCGACCCGUUGGGUGUCGUCGGUCUACGGUCCGGGCGGUAGCCUGUCUCGACGCUUCGUUGCGCACGUGACAGACCCCCGAUCGCCUGACCGGCUACCCGGCGGUAUCGAUCAUCAAACGGUAUCCGGCCGCAAAUUUCGAAUUGCGUCGGGCACGCUGCAAGCUCGAUCAGCGUUUGUUUCCUGGUGGUCACGGACCUAGCGCCGUCCCCGGGCCUGAUCAGCUGUUGGUAUUAGGCGGUGAGCUCCGACAGGCACGCGGGCGCCGGCGGUUUCGUCGGCGUUCGUUCGCGCGGUACCGGUCCGCGACGCUACUGCUUUGGGUACUUUCAGGACCCGUCUUGAAACACGGACCAAGGAGUCUAACAUGUGCGCGAGUCAUUGGGACUGCGAAUCCUAAAGGCGCAAUGAAAGUGAAGGUCGACCUUCGCGUCGACCGAGGGAGGAUGGGUCGCGUCGCGACGCGGCUCCGCACUCCCGGGGCGUCUCGUUCUCACUGCGAGAAGAGGCGCACCCAGAGCGUACACGUUGGGACCCGAAAGAUGGUGAACUAUGCCUGGUCAGGACGAAGUCAGGGGAAACCCUGAUGGAGGUCCGUAGCGAUUCUGACGUGCAAAUCGAUCGUCGGAACUGGGUAUAGGGGCGAAAGACUAAUCGA
rnacentral:rRNA from 1 species